rnacentral:rRNA from 1 species
UAUGUGAUCGUCUCUCGCAUAUCAAUAAGCGGAGGAAAAGAAACUAACAAGGAUUCCCCUAGUAACGGCGAGUGAAGCGGGAAGAGCUCAAAUUUGAAAUCUUAAAGGGUUUCCCUUUACGAAUUGUAGUUUAAAGAAGUGUUUUCUGUUGAGGUUUUGGUAAAAGUUCUUUGGAAUAGGACAUCAUAGAGGGUGAGAAUCCCGUAUUUGACCUUUACUUUCAACUUUGUGAUACACUUUCAAAGAGUCGGAUUGUUUGGGAAUGCAGUCCAAAAUGGGUGGUAAAUUUCAUCUAAAGCUAAAUAUUGGCGAGAGACCGAUAGCGAACAAGUACCGUGAGGGAAAGAUGAGAAGAACUUUGAAAAGAGAGUUAAACAGUACGUGAAAUUGUCAAAAGGGAAGCGUUUGACACCAGUGUUGUUUUUCUGAAAAUCAAUUAAAGAACUGUUUAUGCUAAGCUGUUUAGACUUUAUCAGCUAUCUGUUUAGUUUUGAGCUUUUCUUUAAUGCACUUUUCAGUUAACAAGUCAACAUCAAUUUCUUUUGCUGUAAAAAAGCUUGAGGAAGGUGACUUGAGAUUCGUCUUAAGUGUUUAUAGCCUCUUGCCUAUGCAGUCGGAGAGAUUGAGGUCUGCAGCGUAGAUCCUUCGGGGCUAAAUGCAUUUGUGCUAAGUUAUAGCAUUUUAUAGACAACUUGUUGACUAUGAUUUGUCUUGUAGCUUACUCGCUUAUGUUAUUUUACCUACGCUUAGGAUGUUGAGUCGUAGUGCGUGCGC